GCAAUAUUCCUCCCUCUGUAGAUCCAUCAACACAACCAAAUCCAAUUUCCUUCACCCCACGAUGCGUCAUUAAUGUUAAGGAAACCCAUCACCAACAGUCUAACAAUGGCAGGACUGUUGGUGUUCUUAUUCCACCAAACACAGAGCAAAAAAAAUAAAACAAUAAUUAUCAGCUUACAAGAUCACCAUCCCAUCAAAGAAAGGGAAAACUCGAAAACCAGAGAGGGGAAGAACAAGAAACAACAAAGGAGAGAGAGGUUCGGGGUUCCAUCCAUCAGGAUCCAACAAAAACAAACAAACACUCAUCUCUCACAAAAAAUUCAUUGUUGAUUAAUCUGUGCUUUACCAAGAACUAGUGCUUUCCAGGAAGAAGCCACAACAAGACAAAAGUCUCAUAAAGAUUAAAGAGUAGAGGAUGGGAGAAAAAAUCAACACGGAGAGCAAAGUGAGAUAAUGAGAGAAUGAGAUAUGCAGAGAAGAUUGUUGGGGGGCGGCUUAUGUUACUUUAGGGUUAGGAAAUAUUCUAUUUAUAGUUGGUUUUUUUUUUUUAAGUGCUGGUUAGUUAAACCGGUUCGGUUCAAUCAGUUUCAGACUUUAGAAACCGAAACCGAACCGAACCGGAAUUUUUUUGUGAUUUUUUAAU
rnacentral:lncRNA from 1 species